AUUUGAAAUUCUGCGUUAUAGCGUUCGAAGAAUCACAAGACAGGGGUCUGAACCCCCGAAGAACAUUGAACAUAUAAAAUUUCUAAUUGAUUAGCAUGUUCAACAACAGCCUGCAGGCGCAGACCGCGGUCGGUUUCGUGCAUUCACUAGCGGGAUCGACGCGCCGGUACAGCCAAAGACAUGGAGCAAAACGUAUACGAUUCCAGAGGAGUUACCGUCGAUCUGUUCUUGUACGGGGACCAGGCUGAGCAUGGGCGGUACACCAUCAAGCCUGGCACCUUCAUCAAGGUUCUCAACUGCCACG